rnacentral:tmRNA from 1 species
GGGGGCGACCUGGUUUCGACAGGUGCAGUGAAGCGAGCAGGGCAUGCCGAGCGCCAACGCCUCGUUAAACCGCUGGAAUCGCAAACUUAACUGCGAACGACAACACGUACGCCCUGGCCGCUUAAUACCGGCCAGCUCCGCACCAGUUUUUCCAUGGGUUGGGCCAGUUCACCGGCAGCGGAGUCAUAAACAUGGAAUCGGAAUUCAUCGCGUCACUUGGUGAAGACCUAAACCAAUAGGUGGCUCGUGGGAAAGGCCGGGAGCUGGUUCGCGGCCGACUCGCUAAAGCAGAACAACCGGCUACGCAUGUAGAACUGUUUGUGGAAUGGCAUCUGGACGCGGGUUCGAUUCCCGCCGCCUCCACCA